AUUGAACGCUGGCGGCAGGCCUAACACAUGCAAGUCGAGCGGUAGCACAGAGAGCUUGCUCUCGGGUGACGAGCGGCGGACGGGUGAGUAAUGUCUGGGAAACUGCCUGAUGGAGGGGGAUAACUACUGGAAACGGUAGCUAAUACCGCAUAACGUCGCAAGACCAAAGAGGGGGACCUUCGGGCCUCUUGCCAUCAGAUGUGCCCAGAUGGGAUUAGCUAGUAGGUGGGGUAACGGCUCACCUAGGCGACGAUCCCUAGCUGGUCUGAGAGGAUGACCAGCCACACUGGAACUGAGACACGGUCCAGACUCCUACGGGAGGCAGCAGUGGGGAAUAUUGCACAAUGGGCGCAAGCCUGAUGCAGCCAUGCCGCGUGUAUGAAGAAGGCCUUCGGGUUGUAAAGUACUUUCAGCGGGGAGGAAGGUGCUGAGGUUAAUAACCUCAGCAAUUGACGUUACCCGCAGAAGAAGCACCGGCUAACUCCGUGCCAGCAGCCGCAGUAACAC
rnacentral:rRNA from 1 species